UGAUUAUUCCUCACUUCUAUCCGUAAUGCCUCGGUCUAUUGAACUGUCUGUCUGCUGUUAUUCAGCUCUAGAGGUCAUUCAGUAGUCUAAUGAUUAUUCCUCACUUCUAUCCGUAAUGCCUCUGUCUAUUGAACUGUCUGUCUGCAGUUAUUCAGCUCUAGAGGUCAUUCAGUAGUCUAAUGAUUAUUCCUCACUUCUAUCCGUAAUGCCUCUGUCUAUUGAACUGUCUGUCUGCUGUUAUUCAGCUCUAGAGGUCAUUCAGUAGUCUAAUGAUUAUUCCUCACUUCUAUCCGUAAUGCCUCUGUCUAUUGAA